GGAUAUAGCUCAGUUGGUAGAGUGCUUGCCUUGCAUGCAUAAGGCCCUGGGUUCAGUCCCCAGCACCA
rnacentral:tRNA from 1 species